UAGGAAAAUGGUCAGAGUCAAGAUAUCUAUUCUUGAAUUUUCUUGGGAUUUUAGGCUUGUUGUGAAGCACUAUUUUUUCUUAGUUGUAAAGGGACGGAAGACUUGGUUUCACUAGAUUCAGAACAUUGUUGGAUUUUGCUUGAAGUCUCCCCAGGUAUAACGAAGAAUUCAAAGGCAGAGUGUGCUGCUGAGGAGCCCCGGGUGCUGUGCAUAAUCCAGGACACCACCAAUGCCAAGACGGUGAACGAGCGCGUGACCCUGAACCUGCCGGCCUCCACCCCGCUGCGCCAACUCUUCCAGGACGUGGCUGCCAAAGUGGGCUACGAGAAUGGCUCCUUUGAGCUGCUCUGGGGCAACGGGGACAGUGCCAGGGGGGGGGGGGGGGGGGGGGGGGGGGGGGGGGGGGGGGGGGGGGGGGGGGGGGGGGGGGGGGGGGG
rnacentral:lncRNA from 12 species